rnacentral:tRNA from 1 species
AUUUAAAUAGCUUAUAAUAAUAGAGCAUAAUAUUGAAGAUAUUAAGGAAAUAAAUUAUUAUUUUUAAAUA